rnacentral:rRNA from 1 species
GGUAGCUUGCGCUCCCCGGUCUCGAAGCCCCGACGAGUAGGAGGGUCGCAGCGGUGAGCGUCGAAGGGACUCCGGCGUGAGCCGGCCUGGAGCCGCCGCUGGUGCAGAUCUUGGUGGUAGUAGCAAAUACUCGAGAGAGACCCUAGAGGGCUGAUGUGGAGCAGGGUUCCAUGUGAACAUCAGUUGGACAUGGGUCAGUCGGUCCUAAGUCCAUGGCGAAGGCCAGUUCCUACCGUGCAGGCAAAUGUCAAAACGUGUCGUGUUGCGAGUGCGUGGUGGGUGGGGGCGGAGAACCGUGUUCAGGAUGUUCCAACCGAGCUCUCUUCCCCCCUCUCCCCUCCCACGCCCUCCUCCUCCUCACGUGUGCGUGAUAUGUCCAAAGAAUACUCUUCUGGACGAAAGGGAUUCCGGUAAAUAUUCUGGAACUUGGCUUCGGAGAUGCUCGGUGCCCUCGGUCGGUUACGGCCGGCCUUGGGAGUCACACUGUGGCAUAAACCCCAGUAAUGGGAUCAAAGCCCGCAUCCGUCGGCGGUGGCCCAGGGAAGAGUUUUCUUUUCUGUUUAAGACAUCUUUAGCCCUGGAAGCAACUUGCUAGGAGAGAGGGCUGUGGUACAAGGUAUCGCUG